rnacentral:rRNA from 1 species
AUACGGAGGGGGUUAGCGUUGUUCGGAAUUACUGGGCGUAAAGCGCACGUAGGCGGACUGGAAAGUUGGGGGUGAAAUCCCGGGGCUCAACCCCGGAACUGCCUCCAAAACUUCCAAUCUAGAGAUCGAGAGAGGUGAGUGGAAUUCCAAGUGUAGAGGUGAAAUUCGUAGAUAUUUGGAGGAACACUAGUGGCGAAGGCGGCUCACUGGCUCGAUACUGACGCUGAGGUGCGAAAGCGUGGGGAGCAAACAGGAUUAGAUACCCUAGUAGUCC